ensembl:lncRNA
UAGACACUAGCACCAGACCGUUGCCCUCUAAUCCUCCCUCACAGUUCUCAGGUAGGACCUAAAGACAAACGGCUCAUACCGUUUUUAUGAAAGUUUUGCUUGCAGGUCCAAUGCGGCCAUUAAUCACCAACCAAUCCCGAAUCGGUGUGCUCUUAUCUCCCGCCCUAUUGCCGACACCUUAUUGGUGUAGGACGCCGGGCGGUGCUGCCAUUCAUGACCUACAUAAAUAAUUAGAAGGAGACAAUGAGAGACAGCAGAGUGAGGUUAGGGUUAGGGUUAGGGUGAAGAGAAUAGGUUGGGGUUAGGGUGAAGAGAAUAGGUUAGGAUUAGGGUUAGGUUAGGGUGAAGAGAAUAGGUUAGGGUUAGGUUAGGGUGAAGAGAAUAGGUUAGGAUUAGGGUUAGGUUAGGGUGAAGAGAAUAGGUUAGGGUUAGGGUUAGGUUAGGGUGAAGAGAAUAGGUUAGGAUUAGGGUUAGGUUAGGGUGAAGAGAAUAGGUUAGGAUUAGGGUUAGGUUAGGGUGAAGAGAAUAGGUUAGGAUUAGGGUUAGGUUAGGGUGAAGAGAAUAGGUUAGGAUUAGGGUUAGGUUAGGGUGAAGAGAAUAGGUUAGGAUUAGGGUUAGGUUAGGGUGAAGAGAAUAGGAUUAGGUUAGGGUGAAGAGAAUAGGUUAGGAUUAGGGUUAGGUUAGGGUGAAG